rnacentral:lncRNA from 1 species
GAGCAUGGAGUUGAACCGAGCUCAACUACUAGUACAUGAUAGUGCUGUGCUGAACAAGUUUAGGUCGAUUAUGACAUCCCACACAACGUGCAAUAGAGAGGUUUGAAGCUAGAGAGGAUGCCAAUCUAGUUGAAAGUCCCCAAUUUGUAUAUGGCUAAUCCACCAAGCUGGGCUUCGGUUUCCUAUCAGUCCUGUGCUAAAGGAAGUAAUGGCGUGCACCUUCAUGCAGGUGUUAGUGCUUGGAGUGGACAUGCUAAUGCUCUAGCAAGAGCUUCUUUUCAACGCCUCAGACUUGUUGAACAUGUACACCGUGGUGGACUCGAAGAGGGAGCCGCGAACUAACUUGCUUAAAGGUAGUCAUUAUCGUCGGCUUAGGAACCCUCUUCAUCCCUAGACGAGGCUAGAAAUUGAUACUCCAAAUAAAGAUAUGUACCUGAAUGAGUUUGCCUAGAUCUCGAGAAACUGGAAAUUCCGAGAUGGAGAUGAUGGUCUUUUUUCCUUUCCAAGACAUAACGACCAUAUUUCGGAUAAUAAUUUCCUUUAUAGCUUGUUUUUGAAGGAAAUAGUUUUCCCACAGCGAAAGCUAGGUUUUUAAAUUUUUUCUAUUUCAGAUCUCCAGUCAUGUAAUCUUAAACGUCGAUAAAAAGGGAGUUCGAUAUAUCUUUUUUCAGCAAAUUUUAGCACCUUAGUGCUGAGUUUUUUUAAAAAAUUUUAGCACCUUAUUGUUGCAUUUUUUUAGCAAAUUCUAGCACCUUAUUAUUGUAUUUUUUUAAGCAAAUUCUAACACCUGA